AUGACGUCGGAGCCGGUGCCGCCGGGGAUGCUGAGCGUGCGGGUGCUGCGAGGGAUCAACCUCGUGAACUGUGAUGCCAACGGCAGCGACCCCUACGUCGUGCUUGAGCUGGACAACCAGAAGGUGAUGACGAACGUCAUCAAGAAGACGGUGAACCCGGUCUGGAACAAGGAUCUCACCCUCGCCGUCACGAAUCCAACAACAUCGAUCAAGAUAGAGGUGUUCGACAAGGACAAGUUCAGCAAGGACGAUAAGAUGGGGGACGCGGAGGUGGACCUGGAGCCGCUGCUGCAGAUGGCCCGGAUGGACCUGGAGGACAUCCGGAGCGGCACCGUGGUGCGCACUGUGCGGCCUCACCGUGGCGGCGCCGGAGGGAGCUGCUGCCUGGCGGAUGAGAGCAGCAUCGUGUGGGAGGAAGGGCAGGUGGUGCAGGACGCGCUGCUCAAGCUCAGGAACGUCGCCACCGGCAUCAUCCACCUCCAGCUCCGAUGGGUCAAAAUACCAUCAUUAUGA
rnacentral:rRNA from 1 species